rnacentral:rRNA from 1 species
AUUGAACGCUGGCGGCAGGCUUAACACAUGCAAGUCGAGCGGGGAGAUGUAGCUUGCUACAUAUCCUAGCGGCGGACGGGUGAGUAAUGCUUAGGAAUCUGCCUAUUAGUGGGGGACAACAUUCCGAAAGGAAUGCUAAUACCGCAUACGCCCUACGGGGGAAAGCAGGGGAUCUUCGGACCUUGCGCUAAUAGAUGAGCCUAAGUCGGAUUAGCUAGUUGGUGGGGUAAAGGCCUACCAAGGCGACGAUCUGUAGCGGGUCUGAGAGGAUGAUCCGCCACACUGGGACUGAGACACGGCCCAGACUCCUACGGGAGGCAGCAGUGGGGAAUAUUGGACAAUGGGCGCAAGCCUGAUCCAGCCAGGCCGCGUGUGUGAAGAAGGCCUUUUGGUUGUAAAGCACUUUAAGCGAGGAGGAGGCUCCUUUAGUUAAUACCUAAAGAGAGUGGACGUUACUCGCAGAAUAAGCACCGGCUAACUCUGUG